AUGCAUGCUCUUUCCGUAUGCUCCGCAAGCAAAGCAUGGUGGCCCUUGUUCCUGCAUGCUUUGCUUCCUGUGGUGUUUUUGCAUUGUUUCUCCAUGCUACUAGUAAGCAUGCCCUUGUUCCAAGCAUGCAAGGCCGCCGAGAUGAGAUUCAUCAGCGUUCUGCAUUUGGUAGGAUCCAAAUGUGCUGUCUCCCACACCACACCAACCAUCGUACCUACUCUAGAAAGUUGUAAAACCAUUGCUUGGACCACUGAUGAAACGCCUGUGAUCGUGCUUAAUCAAAUGGAACGAACGCGGGUGCAGGCGCUAGUGGAAUUAUAG
rnacentral:rRNA from 1 species